rnacentral:rRNA from 1 species
CCUACGGGGGGCAGCAGUGAGGAAUAUUGGUCAAUGGACGAGAGUCUGAACCAGCCAAGUAGCGUGAAGGAUGACUGCCCUAUGGGUUGUAAACUUCUUUUAUAAAGGAAUAAAACGAGGCACGUGUGCCUGUUUGCAUGUACUUUAUGAAUAAGGAUCGGCUAACUCCGUGCCAGCAGCCGCGGUAAUACGGAGGAUCCGAGCGUUAUCCGGAUUUAUUGGGUUUAAAGGGAGCGUAGAUGGGUUGUUAAGUCAGUUGUGAAAGUUUGCGGCUCAACCGUAAAAUUGCAAUUGAUACUGGCAGUCUUGAGUAUAGUUGAGGUAGGCGGAAUUCGUGGUGGAGCGGUGAAAUGCUUAGAUAUCACGAAGAACCCCGAUUGCGAAGGCAGCUUACUAAACUGUGACUGACAUUGAUGCUCGAAAGUGUGGGUAUCAAACAGGAUUAGAUACCCGAGUAGUC